UAAUACAUGCAAGUCGAGCGAACGGACGAGAAGCUUGCUUCUCUGAUGUUAGCGGCGGACGGGUGAGUAACACGUGGAUAACCUACCUAUAAGACUGGGAUAACUUCGGGAAACCGGAGCUAAUACCGGAUAAUAUUUUGAACCGCAUGGUUCAAAAGUGAAAGACGGUCUUGCUGUCACUUAUAGAUGGAUCCGCGCUGCAUUAGCUAGUUGGUAAGGUAACGGCUUACCAAGGCAACGAUGCAUAGCCGACCUGAGAGGGUGAUCGGCCACACUGGAACUGAGACACGGUCCAGACUCCUACGGGAGGCAGCAGUAGGGAAUCUUCCGCAAUGGGCGAAAGCCUGACGGAGCAACGCCGCGUGAGUGAUGAAGGUCUUCGGAUCGUAAAACUCUGUUAUUAGGGAAGAACAUAUGUGUAAGUAACUGUGCACAUCUGACGGUACCUAAUCAGAAAGCCACG
rnacentral:rRNA from 1 species